rnacentral:rRNA from 1 species
AUUGAACGCUGGCGGCAGGCUUAACACAUGCAAGUCGAGCGGGGGAAGGUAGCUUGCUACCGGACCUAGCGGCGGACGGGUGAGUAAUGCUUAGGAAUCUGCCUAUUAGUGGGGGACAACAUCUCGAAAGGGAUGCUAAUACCGCAUACGUCCUACGGGAGAAAGCAGGGGAUCUUCGGACCUUGCGCUAAUAGAUGAGCCUAAGUCGGAUUAGCUCGUUGGUGGGGUAAAGGCCUACCAAGGCGACGAUCUGUAGCGGGUCUGAGAGGAUGAUCCGCCACACUGGGACUGAGACACGGCCCAGACGCCUACGGGAGGCAGCAGUGGGGAAUAUUGGACAAUGGGGGGAACCCUGAUCUAGCCAUGCCGCGUGUGUGAAGAAGGCCUUAUGGUUGUAAAGCACUUUAAGCGAGGAGGAGGCUACUUUAGUUAAUACCUAGAGAUAGUGGACGUUACUCGCAGAAUAAGCACCGGCUAACUCUGUGCCAGCAGCCGCAGUAA